CCCCCUUUGUAGAAAAAUUUGCAGAUUACACAGAAUUUCCAGUUGUGAGGAAGAGUUUAUUAUGAAAACUGUUUUCACUGUUAAGUAAAGAGAAAUUCCUCCUAUUUCUUAUUACUGAUACAGAUUCUUUGCCAACAUGCCUUCCCAGUGAUCUGUUGCUCUGAUGAUGGUAGUAGUGAAGAAUAACUCACCUCUACUUCUACCUCCAGGAUUGCAUCUGAGCCAGGAGGAUGAGAAUAUAUCAGCCACUUUCAAGCAAAUCUGUCUGUGCCAGAGAGGACAGGAUUUUGAAGAGUUACAACUGUGGCAGCAAGUAUUAAUUUAAUAUUCCUGCUUCUGGAAGGAACAGCAUUGAUAGGAAUUGCCAAGUAACCAGGCCCAACCUGUGGCCCAUCUGGCCUUGAGUCCUGUCUAUAACAGCAACAAGUAUUUGGAAGAAGAUGAAAAUAUUUCUGGGAUGGAUGAUUACAAAUGACCUACAAAUAACUGUGUCCAAUACUUUCUUGAGAGCUCAGCUUCUGUUUCUCGCAAUGGCUCUGUUCAUUUCAGUAGGGGAGAUAUAGCAACUGAUGUUUAACAAUUAAUUUUUUUUGUUUCACCUGUCAAGCUUUGCUGGUCAAUUUUGCUUUACAAAAUCUAUAAGUAGAGAACACUGGUGUUUUCUUUUGUACUGGUGACAUGAAGGAAUUAAAGGAUUUAAGAUUGUAAAGCCUUCCAUGAAUAAUUUAGGCUCUGUUUCCAGCAGAUAUUCACUCUGCUACGUACGCACUGAUACUGGGCUCAGACAUUUGUGGUAUCAGCAACAGUGCCCAUGUGAGCCAAAAGGAAAUAGGCUUUUAUUUAGUGUCAGCCAUCAAUCUGUUUCCAGCCUUUAGGACCAUAUGCUUGUCAAUUAGGGGUCUUCGCUUGAGGAUCCUGGCCUGCUAGCUUGCAACAAAUAUAGAUGGGCAUAGACAUGCUCAAAGAAUUACCUCUAUGCUCUCCUCUGUGAAAUUUUGUGCAGCCUCAUCAGCCUUGCUCUUCUGACUUCUCUGCUUCAUAUUUCUCUUGUGAAUAAACAUUGCUGUGCAUACUCA
rnacentral:lncRNA from 1 species